UAUCUGACAACGGGGAGCUCCUGUUAGGGGCUGAGAAAGGGCUAGUGAGCACCUGACCCGCUGAACCUGUUCAGGGUAAUGCCUGCGGAGGGAAAAAAGCCGGCUUUUGA
rnacentral:ncRNA from 2 species